CGAUGGGCCAAUUGUGCGCCUCCCUAUGGGACUACCAAUCACAGCCAGUUGUGAUACAGCCUGGAUUCGAACCAGGGUGUCUGUAGUGACGCCUCUAGCACUGAGAUGCUGUGCCUUAGACCGCUGCGCCACUCGGGAGCCAGAGUGUGUGUGAUGAAGACCUUGAGGUAAUUUUCUUGUUUGAAGAAAUUAUUUUGAUUGUCUUGAUGAGUCUCUCAACUACAAUUUGCUUACAAUUCACAUGACUAACAGUAUCCUUCCACUUACUGUAACUAUUACAUUGCAUACCGAGAGCUUUCCGACUGCACAGUCACAAAUGAUUGGAUGAGCAAGUGGCUGGAUCCUUCAUGAUCAUUAAGGGUGAGACAAGAAGGCUCGAAUUUUGCUAAUCCUGCAGUCUCAUAAGGAAGAUAUAACAGGCUCAUUGUAAGCUGGACAAGGACUUUGAUGCUGACACCCACUUCUACUUCAUUACAUAAGUUAUGUUCUGAGAGGUCACAGUGAGGAUUCUGCAGAAGCAUGAGGGUUUCAGUCGCUUUUGAGAAAAGCUGUCCUACGAUGAGGCGUGUGUCAACCAACUUGCGCGCACACACACACACACACACACACUUGUACACUUUAGUUUUCCUCACACAUAUUGCCUCCCCAUAAAUUGUUUUUAUUUAUUUCACUAUUUGGUUGCAUCUGCAUGUUCAUUUGAGAGGCAGAGUCUAAGGGGUUAAGAGGGCCAUAUCGGAACUUUACUUUAAUUAAUCUGAGGACUGUUAUUUAUCUAAUCAACUAUGUUAAAUUGUUACCCGAUUAAAUUAAUCAUAUGACAAUUAACUCAUUAGGAAUUGGGGCACCAUGAGAGUGGUUCUUUAAAGAGUUACCAUCUGUCAUGGCUGGCUGAAGGACUGGACCAAGGUGCAGCAUGGAGCUUUCUCGAUCGUCUUGUAAAUAGAAGUCAGGGAAGAGUUUUGCCAGUUUUUUUCCCAUACUUGCUGCUGGUUUUUUCUCCACUCUGAAAAAAACAUCCACCUUCACAUCGUACUGCCACAAGAUCACAUUUUUUUAUUCAUUUAACAUGUAUGCUUUUUAUUUUGAAUGUCUGUAAUUCCACCAUCAUAUUGUAACAUCAGCACACAGUUCUCAUGUCUCGCUCAUCAUGUCAAGUAAAUCUCAUCAAUGUGUUAUAGUUGCAAAUAUAAUUUCAUAUAACUGUUUUGUUUUCUUAAAGCCUACAUUUCGUAUUGCCUUCUUGCUGUUUGGGAUCUGCUUAUUACUUUG
ensembl:lncRNA